rnacentral:rRNA from 1 species
UACGUAGGGUGCGAGCGUUAAUCGGAAUUACUGGGCGUAAAGCGUGCGCAGGCGGUUAUUUAAGUCAGGUGUGAAAGCCCUUGGCUUAACCUAGGAAUUGCGCUUGAGACUGGAUAGCUUGGAGUGCGGCAGAGGGAGGUGGAAUUCCACGUGUAGCAGUGAAAUGCGUAGAGAUGUGGAGGAACACCAGUGGCGAAGGCGACUCUCUGGUCUGUAACUGACGCUGAGGCGCGAAAGCGUGGGGAGCAAACAGG